CCUACGGGGGGCAGCAGUGAGGAAUAUUGGUCAAUGGGCGCGAGCCUGAACCAGCCAAGCCGCGUGAAGGAUGACUGCCCUACGGAUUGUAAACCUCUUUUAUAAGGGAAUAAAGUGAGGCACGUGUGCCUUUAUGUAUGUACUUUAUGAAUAAGGAUCGGCUAACUCCGUGCCAGCAGCCGCGGUAAUACGGAGGAUCCGAGCGUUAUCCGGAUUUAUUGGGUUUAAAGGGAGCGUAGAUGGGUUGUUAAGUCAGUUGUGAAAGUUUGGGGCUCAACCGUAAAACUGCAAUUGAUACUGGCAGCCUUGAGUACAGUGGAGGUAGGCGGAAUUCGUGGUGUAGCGGUGAAAUGCUUAGAUAUCACGAAGAACUCCGAUUGCGAAGGCAGCUUACUAAACUGCCACUGACAUUGAGGCACGAAAGUGUGGGUAUCAAACAGGAUUAGAUACCCGGGUAGUC
rnacentral:rRNA from 1 species